AUUGAACGCUGGCGGCAUGCCUUACACAUGCAAAUCGAACGGUAACGGGCCUUCGGGUGCCGUCGAGUGGCGCACGGUUGAGUAAUACAUCGGAACGUUCCCGAUCGUUGGGGUUAACUAGGCGAAAGCUUUACUAAUACCCCAUACGAUCUACGGUUGAAAUCAGUGGUCCGCAGGGCCUUGCCCGUACGUGUCGGCCGAGGGCAGAUUAGGUAGAUGGUGUUAUAAAAUCUUACCAAGCCGACGAUCUGUAGCUGGUCUGAGAGGAUGAUACGCCACCCUGGAAGUGAGACACGGACCAGACUCCUACGGGAGGCAGCAGUGGGGAAUAUUGGACAAUGAGCGCAAGCCUGAUCCAGCCAAGCCGCGCGAAGGAUGAAGGACUUCGGGUUGUAAACUGCUUUUGUACGGAACGAAAAGCCUUCUUUUAAUACAGGAGGGUAAUGACGGGACCGGAAGAAUAAGCACCGGCUAAAUACGUG
rnacentral:rRNA from 1 species